rnacentral:rRNA from 1 species
GCUCAGGACGAACGCUGGCGGCGUGCCUAAUACAUGCAAGUCGAGCGGACAGAAGGGAGCUUGCUCCCGGAUGUUAGCGGCGGACGGGUGAGUAACACGUGGGUAACCUGCCUGUAAGACUGGGAUAACUCCGGGAAACCGGAGCUAAUACCGGAUAGUUCCUUGAACCGCAUGGUUCAAGGAUGAAAGACGGUUUCGGCUGUCACUUACAGAUGGACCCGCGGCGCAUUAGCUAGUUGGUGGGGUAAUGGCUCACCAAGGCGACGAUGCGUAGCCGACCUGAGAGGGUGAUCGGCCACACUGGGACUGAGACACGGCCCAGACUCCUACGGGAGGCAGCAGUAGGGAAUCUUCCGCAAUGGACGAAAGUCUGACGGAGCAACGCCGCGUGAGUGAUGAAGGUUUUCGGAUCGUAAAGCUCUGUUGUUAGGGAAGAACAAGUGCGAGAGUAACUGCUCGCACCUUGACGGUACCUAACCAGAAAGCCACGGCUAACUACGUGCCAGCAGCCGCGGUAAUAC